CCCAUCUCAGGACUGCACCUGGAGAGUUUCCAGUAUUCUACCAGCCUCGCCUACGGGAGGGAGAAUCAAGCGGAGGCAUAUCCAUUCCAUUCCUAGCUUGGGCAGUGGCUAGCAAGUGGAAGGCAAUCUGCUACCAAU
rfam:Ornithorhynchus anatinus chromosome 3, whole genome shotgun sequence.